AUGUACCCGACAUAUUGUUAAUUUUUUGAGGCACCAAGAACAAAUGUGUAUAUUUCAUAAUACAACAAAUCCAUAGAAUGGUGAUUAGCAAAAAAAAAAAAACGCUUUAUACGACAACAAAGAUACCAGUAAAAGCCUUAAAAAUUUAUCAAAUGCACAAUGCUUAUUAGCCAAAAAAAAAUCUAAAUACAAUAUAUACAGCUGUAUACACACGGAAUAAUGUACACGGCUAAACCGGCGCAUGCGUUAUUUCUACGUUCAUUCAGGCAAACUUGAUAAAAGUGAAUAGGAGAUUGUCACGUAAAAACGGAGCUGCCAUGUCUAAAAUGAAUAAUGUUAUAUAUAUAAUGUUUACAUUAAUGUAAACGUUUUGAAUAUUUUAUUAUUUGGCUCAGAUGGAGUUUAAUUAAUUUUUAAAUCUUACUAUUGCUUUCCCCGUACAAAAACAAUUUUUAAAGCUAUACUUAAAUUCUAUUUUUUCAUUUAUAUUUCUAAAUGCAAUUUUAUUGAAAAUAUUUUAAACGGUUAAUAUCAAAUUUGAUACAAUAUACCAUACACCAUCAAAUUGCAUUAAUUUUUCUUUAAAUAUCUAAUAUCUCCGUGAACCAAGAGUCAGUUAAAUAGUGGUAGUCUUGGUUCUGUUGUUAUCAUAAAUUACGCAGCUCUACAAAAAAAAUCUUUUUCUUGUUGUCCUGAAUAUUUUAGCAGAUGUAGUGGUUUUCAAAUGUCUAAGUUACGGAUUUAUUCAUCAAAGUGUUGAAUGUGUUGUUGCAAUAUAACGUUAAAUAUCCCAUAUUUUAAUCAAUUAUCGGCUUAUUAUCAAUAAAAAUUAAAAUUUUCAGUCAUGAUUAGAGUUCUCCCCACCUCAGACUGCUUACCGAAAAUAUGUGAAAAAUUAUGCAAAAAGUCUUAAGGUUUUAAUAAAAAUCAAACAGUCUACAAAAUGUCAUUUUUUACUCAAAGAAUAUCUGGCGUUCGUUUCAAACGUAAUUCGCAUUAGAAGUGAAUGGAAGGCUGAAACAUCUACUUACAGAUACUAACACAAAGAUUUUCUAACUUCCGAUUGGCUUUACACCGCUUAUAUCGGUCAAUAAGUAGUAAUCUUAAUGAAAUUCAAAAAAUAUAUCUUUCCGGUAACAGUGUUUCUUUGGGCCUAAAAUGGAUAAAAUCGGGUGAAUAUAUAUGUAUAUAUCGGCCAAUGUGUAAGAUAUCUUAACAUGUUUCGAGUAUACUCAUAAGAAAUGGUCUUCUUUGAGUUUAUGUCGCAAACAUCGGUAUUACCCCAAAAUAUUAAUAUAAUGAUUUAUAGUAGCCAAUGUCUCGGCUGGAUAUUGGGCCUAGCCAAUUUUAUUCGAGAAAUUGACUCCAGAAUAAAAAAUUCUCCGUUUUUCGAAGUGCCUUCAAAGAUCGAAAAUGAUUUUAAACAUCAAUAUUAAUUAUAGUAUUUAAAUUACUAGAAAAUAGAAAAAAUAUAAAUAUAGUCUACCUUUUCUUCAUAUUCGAAUGGUAAAUAUCGUUUUUUUUAUCAAGCAUAUACUAUAUGAGAGACACUUUAAUAGGUCAUAGUUGGAUCUUCGAAAAAAUAAAAACUUUAUAUUUCGAAUUAUAAGUAUGGUUUAUGAAAUAUUCAUAUCGUUGUAAAAGUGAUGGAGUGGAUUAAUACUUUAUUUUUUUCUUCAUAUUUUGUAAGCUCCAGGUUUGCAGAUUUUUUAUUUGAAUAAACGCAGUUUUUAAAUCGUUUAUAGUUGUCAGCGUUAGCCAUUUCAGUUGAUUUGAAAAAUAUUGAGCCUUUAGUAUUUACUCCAGAGUCCGUUAUCACCUUUACAAGGGCAAGCUUGAAUAGUGGGUUCGAAAACCCAUCCCCUUGUGGUAGGCGGUUUUUUUAAAUAAAUUCAGUUAAUAUGAAGUCUCAAAUUCGUACCAAAACUCUCUUUCGUCAGUGUGGCUUUAAUAAGAUUUAUUUUUUAUGUCGACCAAACUCAUAUAAGCCGCCAUCCGCCUGGAAAUCUAUAAACAGAUGAAAUGUCGUUAUACUAUUUUUCUGAAUUUUUUUUUCAAGAAUUUGUGUUAUUAUAAAUAUCUGUUCAAUGGUGCCUCUUCCAGUUAUAAAUCAUGAUAGUUAGUCAACUAUAAUUUGGUUUACGAAUGGUUGUAACCGUUCUUUCAGAAUUAUCAGAUGUACAUAAUUGCAAAAUCGACGGCAAACAGAUAGUAGUAGACAUUAGAAAACACAAACUAGAUCGCUGCCGUUUACCAAAAGUUUUGCAUUGUUCUGUGAAACGAUUCGAGAAUAUUUGUUAGCUAUUGUGUACUCAUUUCAAAUUAUGAUUCGACUGUUGUUCAGUUCAAUUAGCAUAAUCCAUAUAUGCACCUAUGUAAACAAAAAUUACUGUAUCAUGGCAGUGGAUAUGUGAUGUUGUUUUGUUUUUUGAAGUAAAAACAAUAUUCAAAGGAUUCCUAAAUGAAUACUGAAUACAUCCUAAUGAUAAGAAAUAUAAUAUUUUAUACAUGAAUUGUUUUGACUUUCAACAAAAAACGAUGAAAAGUAGCGUAUGCCCGUCCCGAGGUAAAAUUUUUUACCAAAUCGGUUUAGCCCUUCUUGAGUUAUAAAUGUAUGCAUAUAAGGAGCUCUGCAGGAGCUUCUGCAGGACUAAAAGAAUAACUUCCAAAUUUUCUCGACUUUCCGUGUCGUGGUUCGGGCGCAAUGAGGCACAUAACGAAAUUGCGUUUCAUUUUUAUAUAUUAAAUACUUAGUGAAGUUACCGGAUAGUGUUUUGCACUGGAGUUUGUCUAGAGUAGGCGUAUUAUUCCCAUUGCUAUGGCAUGCUUAAUUGUUGCCACACCUGUUGAACAACAUAAAAAUAUGACGGAGGGAAAAUAGGUCCAUAUGCUUAUACCGUUCUGCAGGCAUCUCAUCUGUUACAGGAGCUUUAUCCAACCGUUUUUUUGUAUUUGCAAAUUAUUGCGAGAAAAGUUUAGAGAUGCGAUUAUUUCAAGAAAUUGUGACGUUGUGAAUUCUGAUUUAACACCAUUAGACUACUUCUUGUGGGGUUAUUUGUUGUCAUUGGUCUUUAGCAAUAAACCAACUCUACAUUAUUCAACGUGUUAUUCAUAACAGACGAUUUAGUGGAAAAAGUACUCGAAAAUUGGGUAAAUCGAAUUCGUUCAUGCCGAAAUUUCAGUCAAAAUCGAUUUUUGUUUGAGAAGCCGCUCUUUUAUCAAAAAUUUUAUUGUGCUUAUUCCUUCGACUUGCUUUACUAGAUUUAACAUUACUUUCAUGAAAACUAUUUGGCGUGUUGACACAGCAAAUAUAAUCUUGCAACAUGUUGCUAAGGAGUAUAUAGUUUUUUCAUCUAAUGGUUAUACGUGUCACCUAAAACAAAGCGAGAGGUAUAGGAUUAUGUUAUAGGUAUACAAUGACAAUAAAUGUUCAGGAUGAGGAGAAAAGUUGAAAUCCAGGUGACUGUCUGUCUAUCCGUCCGUUCGUGCAAGCUAAGUAAAAUUUGAGAUUUCUUGAUUAAACUUGUCACACACGUUCCUUGACAAAAAUGUAAGCCUGAGGAGAAGGGCGUGAACAGGCCACUGCCACGCCUACAGUGCUCUUAAGGGAAAACUCAUAAAGUGCCGUAACUAGGUACAAAAAUAAGAUAUAAAACUGUAAUUUGUUUGAUGUACAUAUCUUCUAGGCCACUACAGCUACAAAAGCCCAAUUCGCUAAGAACAAUUCCAAUAAUAACUACUACUAACAGUGUAAAAAUUGAUGAAAUCGGAUUAUAACUCUGCCCACUCCCCAUAUAACGGUACUGUUGAAACCUACUUAAGGCGCUAUAAAUCAAUAACUAAAUACAACAGGGACAUUAAAUUUCACCCCCAAGGUGAUAUAAGAGGGCUUUAAAGGAGCCAGUGUAAAAAAGGGGCAUCUGUUAGGUAAAAUCACACCAGAGAUAUUAAAUUUUACCCUCGAGAUAAUGUAAGAGAUCUUUAACGGAGCAGGUGUAAAAAUUUGACAACUGUGUAAACUCACAUAUCUCAUGACCUGCUCAACCGAUUUCAACUAAUUUCGGUAAAUAAAAUAUUUCCAAUAUUUCUGUUUAACACAACCAGUUUCUAUAUAACUCGAUUUUAAAUUUGCAGUAUUCUAUCUUAAGAUUAAGAAUUUUCAAAUUCAUCAAAAACUGUUCAAACCCCUUGGUACCGAAUAUUUGGACCCCAGUACCUAUAGUUGACUUUUCACAGCAAAUAUCGGUCAAUGUCACAACAGACCAAAAAACACGAAACCAGAAUUAUUCUAAAACCAAAAAAAAAAACAAUAUUCGACAAUUCAAGUAAAAUAAAAGACAUAAACAAAAAUUUACUUUUUAACAUCGCGUAGCUCUUUUUAUCUACGGCCAAUUCUUUUGAACAUCGUGGUAUUGAUUAGACGAACUUGGAUGUGUACCGUUCUUUCAUUAGUAUCUGUGUAAUUUGGGCGCUGUCUCAGUCUUAUUUCUAAAUGAUCCUUUAGAUUACCUAAAGGGUUUCCAUAAAUCUGAACUUUGACUUUAAUUACUUCAAUUGUAUAAAAGCCAAAGCUUUGUAUUUAGUGCGAGAGAACCGUGGCAUUUGUAUUGGCGGUCGACCGCAAAACAAUUUAUGGUAAUUUAUAACUAGUUUUAAAAAGUGCCGCAUGCAGACAUUUCUGUGUUUUGAAAUAAAUUUUUAUACAAUAUUAGAUGACCCGGUAAACUUCGAUUCACAUAUCCUAACUUUUUUAUUUAAUCUGUAUUUUGUUUAUUUCAUAUAUGUAUGUAUGUUUUAGUAACAACUCAAACAGUUUACAUAAACCAACACACACACUUACACAUUCAGCAUAUAUGUAUUCUUCUGGUUAUUAAAAAAAGUUUGCUAGCAAUUCAAAUGAAUACAAAACUUAAAUAUAUGCAGGUGGAAGAGUAUGACGAAAAGCACCUUGUAACAGAGUAAUGGCUCCACCAAAAAUGAAUUUGAAUGAAUGCAUUUGUAGAAUCCUCGCCAUUGCGCUGUUAUUGAUUAGGAACGUUAAACAUGCCAACCUUAUAGUUUAUCCGGAACUCUUUCGGAUUCGAAUGAAAACAUGUCGAUAUUACAUUUACAAACAAUGUGUUCAAAUUCGUUUCAGUGGUGAUUAAAAUAUAAACAUUCGACAACCAACUGGCAACUGAAUUUUUUUCAAGAGAUAUACAAGGUCGCAAAGAAACAGAACUUUUUAAAUAUACCUGUUUCUGGUGGCGCCACCUGUUGGUGGGUAUAUGAGAUAAAAAGUUUGAUCUCCUCUUGACAUUUCGUAAACAUUUUCAGACAAUUGGAUAACUACAAUCGAUGUUAUCGAUCAAAAAGUGACAGCAGCUUUUGGUCAUCGGUCGUAAAAUGCGUUUUGAAAAAAGAGCAAUAUUAAAUUUUGUUUUAAACUUGGGAAAACGUUUACUGAAACAUUUCAAAUGACGAAAAAAGUUUAUGGUGAUCAGUGCCUAUCCUGUAGUAAUGUGCAUGAGUGGUUUAAGAGAUUCCAAGAAGGUCGUGAAGACCUCUGUGACGAUCAGAAGUCACCGAAAAAAAAUCGUCUUCAGAAGUCAAAAAUAAAGACAAUGCUCAUUUGUUUUUACGAUUCCGAGGGUAUUGUACACCGAGAGUUCGUCCCACCUUGCCAAACGAUUAAUGCUGUGUUUUACUUUGGUGUUAUGAAGCGUGAUGUUGCACGAUAAUGCGCAGUGUCAUCGGUCGACGCUUGUCACUUUGACAAAAAACUCCAUAUUAACCAUUAAUCACUCACCCUACUCACCUGAUCUGCCACCCUGUGAUUUUUACCUAUUUGGAAAACUUCAUUUGCCCAUGAAAGGACACUGGUUUCAGGACAUUUCAGCUAUCCAAAAGGCGACGACCGAUAUUCUCAAGAGCAUUCCGAAAAAUGACCUUAAACACUCAUUUGAAAUGCUUAUUGACCGGGCUAAACGCUGUAUCGAAGCACAAGGAAACUACUUUCAAUAAAAAAUAUAACUUUUGAAAAAUAUUAAUUUUUUGUUGUUUUUUUUAACAGUCCUGUUUCUUUUGCGACAGACCUUGUGUUUCAAUUAGAGAGAUACGUAUUGAGUCCACGAAACAGCAAAAUAAAAUUUUCUUUACAUUCCAACCAUGAUUCAAUUAAAGAGUGAUCCUACUUUUCCUACUUUUUUAAAGAAAAAUAAAGAAGCUUCAAAUUUAUUAUCAUUGGAAAGAACAUUCUUUGACUUUUAUUUUAUUUACAUAUCGCCACAAGAAAAAGUCUAAGGGUGUGGUGAUGCUUGAUGAAAUUACAGCUCUUGAAUUUUUCAGUUUGUUUUUCGUCCCGAAAUGCCGAUAAGCUGAGCCGAUGUAUUGACUCCAGCUGUACUUACGAAAAGUGCCCUUGUAAAACUGUGAAAUUCGGCCGGUUUUUUUGCAUAGCCACCUCUUUUUCGCUCGGCACUAAAAGGGUUAACAACAAGGACAACCAUUGAAAAUAUUAUUAUUAUGUAUUUUUUGUUUGAUUUACGUUGCCAACUCAAAUAAAAGUUUUAUAUUCGUAUAUGCCUCUCAGUUUUUCCAUAUAUCUUUUUGCCUUUCUGGGCUUACAUCAUAAACAUUUUCUGGGCUUAUAUCAUAAACAUUUCAAAUCGCUUAUAUAUGGUCCAGCAUUUUUCGCGUUUUAGCGAGACAAACGAAUGACAUAUAACACUUAGUAAAUUGGUAGACGAGCAAUCUUAGGAUACUUAGUUAACCAUUUCUUAAUUCGAUGUAAAAUUGUGUUUUAUAUUAAUUUUAUACUGAUAUAUAACAAAAAUAAAAAUCCAGGACAUGGCAGUGUUCGUUUCUGUGCGUUGCAUUAAAAUAAUACAUCAAUAAUAAACAGGAAAUUGCUGUGUUUAUCUUGUGUUGAUAUAACAAUUUAAAGUGGUUUUUGAAUUAAAAUUUUGAAGACUAAAAGAAGUUUUCGGAAACCUCUGAAGUGCACCAGUUUUAGAUUAAGUAUAAUUUUACAUAAUACAGUACUUCGCAAAAGAAAGUGGUGAUGUCAUAAUAUGGAAAUGGACUCGUGUGGGAUUUAUGGUACACAACAAAUACCUCCACACAUGAUAAGGCGUAUAGAUGCACAUAAAUAUAAUGGCGUUUUCUUUUCUCUCAAAAUAGUUGCAUUUAUUCUGCCCUAUUCUUGGACCCUAUUCUUGGGCUGUCAUUUGCAUGUUAUUUUGAUAACUUUUCUCGUUUUUUUAUAGUUAUUUUUUUUUUAAAUCCAAAGUUAUUACUAAUUAUAAUGACUAGAUAAAUUUGGUUAAACUCAAUAAUCUAAAUUGCGAAUAAGUUGGUUGGCGGAUUUUUUGUUAUUUUCUGAAAAUUAAAAAUUUUGACAAGGUUUAAUAAUGUUGCCUUUAAAUGAGCCAACUUUUUCAUCGAGAAAAGAAAACGCUAAAAGUGUUGGGUGAAAUUAAACUAAAAUUCUCUAAUUAUAGCUUGCAAUAGCUCUAUUCAAAUUUUAAAAAGUACGACAAUAAGUACGUAGAAGUAGGAACCGUUUUAUCAUGUCUCUAAUCAAUUCAACUACAAACCCAGCAAAUGAUGAAAAUAUUGGUAAUGAUGAACAUUAUAAUAUUGCCAAAGACAAAAAUCCACAACAAGAGCAGCAGCAUAAAUGCGAAGUACAACUAAAGACGCCCAAUCGUUGUCUGGAACAGCGCAAAAAGCUUAGAGUUUAUAACAACCUUGCGACAGAUUCCAGUGUACCAACAAACUUCCGUGGUGUCACAUCAACAAAUGUGAAUUAUUCUAUGCCUGUCUCACAUAGGCAGCAGAAAAAAAUGGAGCAAUCUAAAAAAUAUUUAGGCGCUGAAAAGGCUAUAAAUCAAAAGUACGACAAAAUACCGUCUGAACAGCAAUCGCCACCAUUACAUAAAGAGUUACUAAAAAUUAAACCGUCACCACUUUAUGAUACAAAUGACAACUAUCGCAGUUGUGUCUUUAAUUUUAAUAGUAAAAAAAAUUCCACACACAUUUUCAGCACCAGCAACAACACGAACUAUGAUAAAAAUGGUGACUGCAUUGGUAUCUUAAGUGAAACCAACAAACCUUACAUCGAUAAGAACUUUAGCAAUAGCAUCGGUGAACGACUCGAUAAUAUCGGGAUUGAAUCUGUCCAAGUUGGCGCAGGGCCUAACUUAAGUGCAAAUAAUUUAUCAUUAAGUGGCGUCAGUAAAUCUUUGAGAGCACUCGAUUCUGCACCACAAACCGGUAGUAUGGCAUCUAUCACCAGCGAGCAGCAACUCUGUCAGUUGUACAAUUCACAGCAGCAUUCCGAUUAUAUAAUAUCAGAUUAUAUGGAAAAAAUAGCGACGCGUAUUAAUUUAUUAGAUACAGAGUUAAAAUUUGCUUGGCGUGCACUCGAUUUGUUAUCUGGUGAGUAUGGUAAAAUUUGGGCGCGGUUGGAAAAACUCGAGAAGAUCUCGUUUGAACAGCAGUCAGUUGUAAAUAAUUUAAUAGGUUUAAUAGCACUUAAACAUGAACAGCAAGAACAAAAUGAACAACAAUCUGAUUGUGUGACACAUUUAAGCUUUCUUGAUACCUCAAAAUCUACCGAGAAACAAAAGCUUACAUCGUUCGAUUACUUGCUGCAAGGUGAACAAUUAUUGAUGUCUAAUUUAGUUGAAGCCGAACAACAGGCCAUUCUCUUGAAUAAUUCAGCUGCUAUACUAUUGCAAGAUAUUGAUGCAGAAUGCACUUCUAAAAUAUAUAAUAACUUGUUACAAGAGCUGAAGAACGAUACAUUAGAUGCGCUGGAUGCCGUACGAAUAAACAGCGAAUUGGAAGCGCUUGACAAGUUAUUGCAGCAACAAACAAAUAAUAUAUGCAAUUCUGGUGAAAUAAAUGUCAUACAUCAGCACUUGCGAAAUGAAAACAAAAUCGGUCAUAAUAACCAUUUUCAGGUAUCAGCAGUUCGGCGUGAUCGCCAACGUAAAUAUGAGCACAAACUCGCUGUAAUGGUUGAUGACGCUAAUUUGUCGCUGGAAAAACAAUCUGAUUGCAAUGUGAGCAGCUCGUUAGUAACGUUGAACUCAGUAAACCGACAAUGUUUAAAAAAUCAACAAGUAUCAGAUAUAUUAUUGGAAGAAACCAAGUCACAUCAAGAGCCAAAUUCCCAUUUAAGCUGGCUCGACUCUUCGAAAGUAACAGAUUUCGAUCUUUUACAUUAUUAUCAACAACAACUGUUGGCAAACGAUGCCAAAAAUGAACUGUCUCAAGAAUUUCUGUAUAGCCGUAAACUUUUGGGGAAACUUACACAGCCAGAAAGUUUUAACAGUUUUGAUCAGUUUAAAGGCAGUUGUAAUGAAGCCACUAAUAUAACAGAAAAUAUGCAGAAUUUGCCGAAGUUAGAUGAUAGUAUAUUCGCUGUGGCACUGCCAACAACAACAAUUGAGACAAAUGCAACAGUAUCGAAUACACGCUCAACGCAUAUCAGCCCGGAAAUGUAUUGUGAUUCGACUCAUAACAUACGCGAGAAGAAAGAUUUUGAUAAGACAAGAGAUAUGGAUAUGAAUGAUUUUAUUAGGAAGGAUAAGUUUUUUCAACAAGUGGCCUCUGAGCAAGGCGAACUCUUGCAAGCGGAUGUACCAAUAGAAGACACGGGUGGAACAAUAUUAUCAGUCGAUGUUAGAAACAAUAGAGAAGUGACCGAAGACUUUUAUAAAACACUUAAUGAGGCGUAUCGUGAUGACGCUCUGAACACAGAAAUUUCCAAUGUUGAAAGUUUAUUGAAACAUAGUGAAGCCACAAAUGAACAUAUACUGAGCAGUUUGGGCACGGGUAGCAAUAUACGCGCAGACAAAGAGGAGAGUGGUAUUGGCGCUAUACUUUCAAAACAUUCCGAUAUAACUAAAUCUCAGUUAGUUUCAAAAAUAGAAGUUACAUCGGCACAAGCUUUUAAUGCUUGCAUAACGACAACGGCAGCAAAUACAAAAACUACAACAAUAGUCGCAAGAAGAACGAAAGACGCUAAAAAACACAAAAAGAAAAAGCAUCACAAUGACGAGAUGGAAAUGCUGAACAAUCUGAAAAGCGCGCUUGCCCAAGCUGCUGGCCUUCAUACACCCAGUCCUGUAUUCCCUAAAAAAACGGCAAUGUAUUCCAGUUUUGCGUUCGCCGAGGAACAAUAUGUCCAAAAUAACUCAAAUAAUGGUGAUUACUAUUCAACUGCUUCAUCUUCGGAGGACGAAUACAGAGCUACAAAAGUUCAAGGAGCUCAAGAUCAUUAUUGUAACCAGCUGAAUGAAGACAAAACCAUACUCCUCGACAGCAUUGGAGAGAUAUUGCUAAUGGAAAUAAAUAAAAUACAAGAUCUUCAAGUAUUAAGCUCUGCACAAAUUCUCACACUACGCACUCUGGUUAAAAAAGAGCAUAAUUUUUUUCAAAAAAUACACCAAGUUAAUAAGAAUCUUUUAUUACUGCUUCUGAAUCCGAUAACAAUGGGCGAGGAGCUUCGUACACUUGAAAAUGAUAAAAUACGAAAGUUCGAAAAAGUUAUGAAAACCUUGGAACGUAAUAUAGACACGCUGAAAAAAUUAGUUGGCAACUCGUUUGACGACUAUACACGAAUGUACUUAACCGAUGAUGAAUUGGUGCUGAUAAAAAGAACUGAAAAUAAUCUGGCUGAUGAUAAUGAAGCUCUGUCGAAUAUCAUGAAAACAAAAAAUAAAAAACUAAAAAAUUCUAUGAAAAAGCAAACAGAAAGGAAAGAAAAUGUAACUGGCGAUCUUGCAGGUACACAAACAAUAAUUGAUAUAGAUAAAAUUACACCUUUCACAAAUAGUUCCAUCGAUAGUGAUAAGGCACACUUUGACUAUAGCGCUCAUUUACUUCGAAACAAUUCCAAUUUGGAUGAACAACUAAAAAUUUUAGAAACUCAAGAACAUGAGAUGCGUCUUAAAAAAUUGCAUGUUUCUACCAUAAGCCCUACAACCAACAUCAAUGAUAUUAUAAAUAAUAAAAGUGGUCUCGGACAGAAACCACAAUGCAAUUAUUUGGCUGGCAUGGAUAUGGAGUCGGAGCAUAUGCUGUUACAAACAACAAAAGCAACACCUAAUAGUCAAGAUAAAUCAUUGGGUCGCGCUACUUCGGUAGCAACACUUUACAAUAAUGAUGAGUAUAUAAAGUCGCUAAAGAGAAGCCUGGAGCGACACAAUAGCAUGCUUUUUCUUUUACAUUUACAACAUCCUGAAUGCCAAAGUAAAACAAAAGCAUAUCAAGACAUUUUGGCUUUGGACAUUGAUGGCAUACUCUUAGCUGGUGUUGGUGGGACUCAAAGCCCACCACCGCCAGCGCCCUACGAUGACGAUGAUGCAAAUGCAGCCAUUGACAGCAAUAACGAUGAUGUUCAAAAAAAGGCGACUUUUCAGUUGGUAAAUGAUGACACCGUUGCAGGUAUAGCUAACCUAUCGGUACCAUCAAUAAACGCCUUAAAUCCAUUUCAUACACAUAGCGCGUCAUAUGACAAUGCACAAUUAGAAUUGUUAAAUGCGGGACCAAAACAAACAAAAUCGAAUUCUGGCGUUUCAUCUAUAAGCCGUUUGUCAAGCUGGGAGAAAUCCCUCAACUCUACGCUAUACGGAGUUGGCGUUGUUAGUACGAACGCUGAUAAAUACAAUCCAUUUCUUAAUAAGUGUAUGAGUUUGCAGUUACUUAUGUCUGAAGAUUUGGAAUCAGUAAAUAAUAGUGCCACUAAUUUGUGUAGUUCGGGGUUGAAUUCAAAGGCUUGGAUGGCCGCAGAUCUGGAUAAUGGUGAUUUGAGUUUAAAUGAUACUAGCUCUACUGAAGCAGAACCGGAGAUCACAACACGUGCCGUUACCAUAGCGACUGCUAAUUCUGUUAUUCCAACGAUUAUUAGUACAACUAAUGCCACUUUUUCCAACAAUGGCGAUAAAAUAAAGCAAAAAAAUAAUUUAAUGCCCAUACAGCAAGCGACAUUAUCGACGGAAAAUAAUUACCUGUUGAAUGAAGAAAACUUGAACUAUAUAUGUGAGUUGUCUAAAAAUAUGCCCAUUUGCUCAGUCUAUGAGAGCAAAUCCAUUUUCAAUAAACUCAAAGUUGGCACCAUGGAUGAGCAUGUACGUACUGUCGAUGAAGUCCUUGAGUGGGGUCAUCGGCAGCGACAACGGCAGACACCAAAGAGACAGCAAAGUGUAGCAAAUAUGUUAGGUGAUCACAACCGGCGUAUGCCGGAUCUUUUACGCAGACCCACAUAUACAACUACGCUAGAAGGGGUCGGAAGCAGCACUUCCGAUAGGACAAGUAUACAGUCUGAGGAUAGGUGUGAAUCAUCCCAAACACAUAAAGGACAACUUACUGAUCGUCUCGUUUAUUAUCCAACAUCUAAUGAUAUUAAAGAUUAUAAUAGCUGCAAUAAUCUAAAUUUUUUGGGUAAGAACCAUUUGGAGUACCCUUAUCAACAUCAACCUCAUCAGCAAAUGUCAUAUAAUCAUGGUUUAAGCUGCUUAGCUCCCACCAAUUUUUCUAAUGUGGCAAUAAAAAAGGCAGUAAACACACAUCACCAACAUUACAUGCUACAUCGUUCUUCACCAGUCGUCAAUGAACAAAGUAAUCAGAUAUUAAAACAGAAUAAUUUUAACGGUUCUCGAAAUUAUGUAUUUCAAUCCAAACAGCACAAGAAUGCAGAGUUGUCCACUCCCUAUGUUUUACACGGUGCGCAUUAUGAUGCCGAAUCAGCACAAGAUAUUGACAUAGUAGCAUCUUCAACGUCUGCCGGCAUAGUUGGUUUAUCCGGUAGUGAAACAACAUCAAGCACUACAUUUAAAGUUUGGAAUAAGUUUACUAAUUUUUUGCCGGACAAUUUAAAAUUGAAGCGAUCUUUACGAUAUGGUCGUUCUCGGUCAUUGCCUACGAGCCAUGACAAUUACAUGGAAGGUAGAGGACCUUUCCAAACAAGCCAAGAUGAUUGUUACCCUUCAGUUGUUGGUCACAUGGCAUCAUUCAAUGUGUCUCGUGAGAACAUGGAACAUAAUCGUAAUGUGUCACUGCAUAAAGUGGCUACGGAGCCAACAAGAAGCUGGCAGCAACAGCAGAGUGGCAAUAAACAUUCGCGUAGCAGUUUUGAUUUUUCGAAACGUUUCUACAAACUACCCACAAAGCUGGUGCAGCAUGCUACUCAUCCUGGUGCAGUCCCCGUUGCUAGCACAAUUACAUCAGACAUAAUUGCUGCUCGCAAUUUAAAUUGCGGUGAUACAACUAAUAAGACUGUAGCUGGUAACCAUAAAAAACGUUCAAGGUUUUCAGCGACUGUAAAUAAUUUAAUGCAGAAAGCCAAAACUGGAUACAGGCGUCACAGUUUUGUAGCUCGUGGAAUUACGGAUUCUCGUGCUGCGGCUAUAGUAUAUAGUGUAUCAGAUACAGAGGCGGAUGUACCCAGUUUUAAUUCUUCGGAUAAUGAGGGCUCUAUAGUUAGUGAUAUUGGAAAUUUUAGUACAUUUUCAGUGGAUACUGACGGACGUCAUGAUGGAUGCGAUACUGAAAUAUAUGAUGCAAAUAAACCUCAACUUCAAUCUUACGGUAUAAAGUUUUUUAGUAAAGAGCUUGGAGUCAGAAAAGAUGAUGACGGAAACAACUAUAAGGGAGUUGUGUCUUCCGAUGUAAAAGAUAGUGGACUGAGUGAUGUUGCGCAAGUUAAGGAUGAUGAAGAAGCUGGCCACAUAUUUGGACAGAAUGAAAUUAAAGAAAAUGAAAUGCGUGAUUUAACCGUCAAAGUGACACCUUCGAAUACAUAUAUACGUCACAAAGAAACGGUUACGGCAGAUACAAAGGAAAACGAAGUUCUUGAUUUACAGUCAAAAGUAUUGAAACCACCAGAUCAAUAUAUAAAUACGAUUACGGGAGGAUUUAAAAAUCUGCAAAAUCAAGUUGAAACCAAAUUACAUAGUGCAAAUAAAUCAGUUUUAACAAAAAAUAAUUCAAAGGCGAUGGAUAAUUCUCACGUCUUGCUGGACUUUGUAAGAACUCCCAAUCAAAUGACUUCGUCCACUGUCGUGGAUAAGAAAGAAGGGAAAUAUAAUGAUGAUGGUGUUUUAAAUGAAACAGAAGUACCAUCAAUAGCUGUGACAUCAGCUGAUAACUCACAUCCAUCACUAUUACUGAUAGCAGAACCGAUAACAAGUGAGUUUGCUAAUCGAAGUUGGGCAGCACAACAGUCGCUUGAUGUCUCUCUAGGUUUAACUGAAGAAGAUGACAAUCGCAGUCAGCAUUCUUUCCGCACGCUGUCGUCAUCACGUCGUCAAAGCACUGAGGAUAGCAUUGAUACAGAUGAUGAAUAUUUUUGUUAUGAGUUAAGACAGUUGGAAAAAUUGGAACAACAACGAAAAGCCGAAUACCUAGAUGAAAGUGAUAAGAAGUCAACAGUAGGCAUAUCCCUGGUUGAUAAUAUACGAUUGUUUUCACAAAUCGAUCAAUUAACUCUGAGAAGUACAACUUGCUAUAAUAAUUCCCAACAUAUGUAUACAUAUGCUACAUUUGAUAAUAACAAUAAAGUUGUCAAUAAUACCGGGUUGCAAUUUUCUGCUGAAAACAAACCAGACGAGGCUAUUAAACAGCUGAUGUGUGAAGUCUUUAGAGAAUUGAAAUGUGUUGUCAAGGAAAUACCAGCAAUAGACAACGUGAAAGCGGUGUCACCAUUUAAAGUAGUGACGACGAAAUCUUCACAAAACCGCUGGUUUUCCACGAAAUCAACCGUCUCAAGUAACUUUGAACGUGUGACAAAAGUUACUGAUUUGCAUAGCGCAUGGCAAGAUAUUAAUGGAGAUGAUUCGCAACAUGGGUAUUCUGAUAUGGAUGCUGAGGAACAUGCUCUGGAGGAAACUGGCAGCAGUGAAACUAUGGAUGAAGGCAGUACGAUUAAUACACUCGUAUGUGCUAAUAAUGCAGCACGCAAUAAAUUCGCAAAAUGUCAUAACCUUCAUCAGCAACAAUCAGAACAGAAAACACAGCAUGUUAGUGGUGAACGUGUAGCUCAACAUAAGCGUUUUCGCAAGCGACGUGAUCGCCGACGGAUGACCGAUAAUAACAACGAUAAGGAUAAUGAAGCAACUAAUCAUGAUCCGCAGCAUCAACAUAUCACUACCUCUUCAUAUUCGUCUGAAGAGGAAGUGGCCAGCGGAAUCAAACUUUAUAAAGAGAAGGCAAAAACGAGUCAAGGGGGUGGUAGCAGUAGCUGCGAUAAGCAUAAACGGUCAACCAUAGCUACAAUUAUAACAAAUGAAAAUGAAAGUUCUAGCAAACCAACGCAAAAUGACCUGUUGCUAAAUUCUGCUACGAAAGCAAAUGUGAUGGAUGAAGAUAUAUAUGUUGAUUUUAACGAAGAUGAUGAUGUAAAUAAUGUGAGUAUGUCAUCCAGUGCCACACUUGGUCCAGAUACACCAGCUGAACUAAGUGAGGAACUGGAAGGCGACCAAAAUAUUUAUAAGACCGUUCCAAGCUAUCAAGCAUUUAAAAGCAAUCAAGAGAGCAUUGAAGUAUCUAACAUAAGUGUGAGGGUGGAACAAAAUUUUGCUGAUGCUGAGGACGAAAAUACCGGGUUAAAAAUUAAUCAUAGAACUGCUCCAACUGUUAACAAGAUUCAUGAACAUUUAAUAAAACUUGAGAAAGAAACACAAGACAACACACAAAUGGAAAUACAUCUAUUAAGUCAUGAUUCUAGUGCUGAAGUUAGUGGGACGCAAGGUACAAAUAUCAAUACAUCAGUACUUGGGAGUAGCAAAUGGAAACUUCUGAAAACUCUGAAAGAACGGAAAAUCGAAGAAAAAAAUUAUCAAGUUAAAGCUAAAGACGAGGAAUGUAGUAAAGAUCGUGCAAAGAAUGGCAGUGGACCUGGUGAUAUUGGCAUACGGGGUAGCGGGCACCCGGGAGACAAUCCAUUCUACAGUAACAUUGACAGCAUGCCAGAUAUACGUCCUCGUCGGAAAUCCAUUCCACUCGUUUCAGAGCUUACAAUGGCAGCCACCAAGCGCAAUGCCGGAUUAACAUCAGCUGUACCUCGAGCCACUUUGAAUGACGAAGAACUGAAAAUGCACGUUUACAAAAAGGCUCUACAAGCGCUUAUUUAUCCAAUUUCGUCAACAACCCCACAUAAUUUCGUACUGUGGACUGCAACAUCGCCAACUUACUGCUACGAAUGUGAAGGACUGCUAUGGGGGAUCGCACGGCAGGGAGUUCGGUGUACAGAAUGUGGCGUGAAAUGUCAUGAAAAAUGCAAGGAUCUCUUAAACGCUGACUGCUUGCAAAGAGCCGCCGAAAAAAGCUCAAAGCAUGGAGCUGAAGACAAGGCCAAUUCAAUUAUAACAGCUAUGAAGGAUCGCAUGAAGCAGCGUGAACGUGAAAAGCCCGAAAUCUUCGAAUUAAUCCGGAUGACAUUUGGUGUGGAUCCAGAUACACACAUAGAUUCAUUAGAACAAGCCGAACUCGCAACUGUUGAGGGAACAUCCAAAUGGUCAUGCAAGUUAACAAUUACAGUGAUAUGUGCUCAAGGCCUGAUAGCGAAGGAUAAAAGCGGUACCAGUGAUCCCUAUGUGACGGUGCAAGUUAGCAAGGUGAAAAAGCGUACACGUACAAUGCCGCAGGAGUUAAAUCCUGUGUGGAAUGAGAAGUUUCACUUCGAGUGUCACAACUCAUCAGAUAGGAUAAAAGUUCGGGUCUGGGAUGAAGACAAUGAUCUGAAAUCAAAAUUGCGUCAGAAGUUAACUCGAGAAUCAGAUGACUUUUUGGGUCAGACAAUCAUCGAAGUACGCACACUUUCAGGUGAAAUGGAUGUUUGGUAUAAUUUAGAGAAGCGUACGGACAAAUCAGCGGUAUCUGGAGCCAUACGUUUACAUAUUUCAGUAGAAAUCAAGGGAGAGGAAAAAGUCGCUCCAUACCAUGUGCAAUACACAUGUUUGCAUGAAAACAUUUUUCAUUAUUUAUGCGAAGAAAAUUGCGGUAUGGUUAAACUACCACAGCAGAAGGGGGAUGAUGCGUGGAAGCUUUAUUUUGACGAAAUUCCCGAGGAGAUAGUUGACGAGUUCGCUAUGCGAUAUGGAAUUGAAAAUAUAUACCAAGCAAUGACUCACUUUCACUGCCUGUCUACCAAAUAUUUAUGCCCUGGGGUUCCGGCUGUAAUGAGUACGUUAUUAGCAAACAUCAACGCAUAUUAUGCGCACACAACAGCAUCGUCUGCCGUAUCCGCAAGUGAUCGUUUUGCCGCUAGUAACUUUGGUAAAGAAAAAUUCGUAAAAUUAUUAGAUCAACUACACAAUUCACUACGAAUUGAUCUCUCUAUGUAUCGCAACAAUUUCCCAGCGUCUAGUCAAGAAAAACUAAUGGACCUCAAAUCAACCGUGGAUUUGUUGACCAGUAUCACAUUUUUUCGUAUGAAGGUUCAAGAACUCUCUAGUCCACCGCGAGCAAGUACAGUUGUCAAGGAUUGCGUGAAGGCUUGUCUUAGAUCCACCUAUCAAUUUCUUUUCGAAAAUUGUUAUGAACUAUAUAAUAGGGAAUUUCAGGUGGAUCCAAACGAAGCAAAACGUGACUCUGACGACCACGGCCCUAAAUUGGAUAACGUUGACUUCUGGCAUAAGCUAAUCGCAUUAAUUGUGUCCGUGAUCGACGAAGAUAAAAACAGUUAUGGUACCGUACUGAACCAGUUUCCACAGGAAUUGAAUAUUGGGCAGCUUUCUGCAGCUACGAUGUGGAGUCUAUUCGCUGUUGAUAUGAAGUAUGCAUUAGAAGAACACGAACAGCAUCGCCUUUGUAAAUCAUCGGCAUAUAUGAAUCUACAUUUUCGUGUAAAAUGGCUCUACAGUAAUUAUGUUAAAGAGGUGCCACCAUAUAAGGGUGCAGUUCCCGAAUAUCCAGCCUGGUUUGAGCCUUUCGUCAUGCAAUGGUUAAACGAAAAUGAUGACGUGUCCUUAGAAUACUUGCAUGGUGCAUUCAACCGUGAUAAGAAAGAUGGGUUCCAAAAGAGUAGCGAGCAUGCGUUAUUUUCCAACUCAGUUGUUGAUGUAUUUACACAAUUAACACAGUGUUUCGAUGUUGUUAGCAAACUCGAGUGUCCGGAUCCAGAAAUAUGGAAGCGUUACAUGAGGCGUUUUGCUAAAACAAUCGUAAAAGUGCUGAUUGCAUAUGCCGAUAUCGUCAAGAAAGAGUUUCCUGAUCAUAUGAAAGAUGAAAGAAUUGCAUGCAUACUCAUGAAUAAUAUACAGCAACUGAGAGUUCAAUUAGAAAAAAUGUUCGAAUCAAUGGGUGGAGAUAAGCUAGAAGAAGAUGCUGCGAAUAUACUAAAAGAAUUACAACAGAACCUAAAUAUGGCUUUAGAUGAUUUGGCAUCACAGUUUGCUGUCAGCCUUGAGCCACGUAUAACACAGUCCGUUAGAGAAUUAGGAGAUCUACUACUUUCUGUUAAAGGAGGUAAUAAUAUGAAUUUCAAUCAAACUGCACAAGGAAAUGUUGUUGCAGUUGAAGCUGAUGAGGUCCUCCGACCACUGAUGGAUUUGCUGGAUGGUUCACUAACACUUUAUGCUCAAUCCUGCGAAAAAACUGUACUUAAACGGUUGCUCAAAGAGCUAUGGAAAAUUGUUAUGCGUAUAUUGGAGAAGACGAUCGUGUUACCUCCAAUGACUGAUAAAAGCAUGAUGUUUAAACAUCUAACGGAUAAUGCCAAGAACCUUGCUUCGAAUGCCAAAAUUGAAGAUAUGGGAAGAUUGUUUAAAAGUCAUAUGUCUGGCAAACAAGAUGUUAAGAGUGCUCUUAGCGGUGUUAUGGAUAUUUCAAAGGAGGUCGAAAAAAAUUUGUCACCUAAACAAUGUGCUGUAUUAGAUGUUGCCUUAGAUACCAUCAAGCAAUAUUUCCAUGCUGCUGGUAAUGGACUGAAAAAAACAUUUCUUGAGAAGUCGCCUGAAUUACAAAGUUUACGAUACGCUUUAAGCUUAUACACCCAAAUGACAGACACGCUUAUCAAAACUUUUAUCUCCAGUCAAGUACAUGAAAUUGAUCCGGAAAAUCAAGAGGAAAGUGUUGGUGAAAUAUCAGUACAAAUUGAUCUUUUCUCACAUCCCGGUACUGGCGAGCACAAAGUUAAUGUAAAAGUUGUCGCCGCAAAUGAUAUAAAAUGGCAAAUAGCGUCAGGAAUGUUUCGUCCAUUUAUUGAAAUUAAUUUGAUCGGACCACAUUUACAGGAUAGGAAACGAAAAUUUGCAACAAAGUCCAAGUCGAACAAUUGGUCGCCAAAAUAUAAUGAAACAUUUAAUUUCACGAUUGGCAAUGAGGAGCAGUUGGAGUUCUUUGAAUUGCAUAUCUGUGUUAAAGACUACUGCUUUGCUAGAGAAGACCGCUUAGUUGGUGUUGCAGUUAUACCAUUAAAAGACAUAUCGGAAAAGGGUUCGGUUGCUUGUUGGCUACCCCUGCAGCGUCGUAUACAGAUGGAUGAGACGGGUUGGACAAUUUUACGCAUUUUAUCACAACGUAAUAAUGAUGAAGUCGCCAAAGAGUUUGUGAAACUUAAAUCAGAAAUACGUCAAGAACCUCUAGUUGGGACAUAACUCAGUUAGAAUAACCAGAAAACUAAUUAAAAUAAAUAUUUAUUUAAUUAGCUCCUGCAUAAUUAGGAAAGUUCCACAUUUUUUCAAACGCAUCCGCUAAAGAAAGUCAUUUCGCAACAUCGGGCUUUAGAAGUAGCAGCAUGCAAAAAUAAAUGGACAAAUUUACGGAACUCAUAUUCGAGGUAUUUGAGGGAAGAAAAAAAACCACUUGGCUGAUGCAAUGUGUUUUUUAAAAGAAUUUUUACAUCAGCAUCGUGAAAUGGACAUUUUACCUGUAAAUAGCUCUGAUGUCGAAGAACAAACUACCGACAUUGUGCAAAAUUAUUUUACGGAUGCAGUAAGUACUGACAAAAGCAGUUCAAUACCUGCGAAAAAGAGUAAGACAUGUAUAUCUGAGAUGAUAGCAGGACCAAUAGUUGAGUUAAUAAACUCCAAAACGAAGCCGAAACCGAAAGAAAAUGGAAAUUAAUUAUUUUUUAAAAGUUUGCUGUCUAAUUAUAAAAAUCUCUCCAGCAAAUGGCAAAGACUAUUAAGAAUACAUAUGAUAAAUAAAAUGAAUCAAUUUCAAGAAGAAGAGAAAAAUGAAUAUUUAACACAUUGAGUGCCAUGGCUACACGUUUUCGUGCGACAGGCAUUGUCUGGCUUUAGGUAUUGUCAUGUGUUUUUGGUUGACGCUACAGGGUUUUUUGAAUGUAUUUCUAGUAGCCUAAUGUUUGCCCUAAAUUUUAGUCCAAGUUUCAAAGAGAUAUCUUCAUUUUUGCGGUUUUUAUGAUAAAAACUCGGAGGUUCUUUUUAAUUUUGAAAAUUUAUUGGAAUUCAUUCGAUAUUUCGGAAAAAAAAGUAUAAAAAAGAUAUUGAAAAAUUAAAAUUAGGAUAUGAUAACUUCAAUUACAUUGAUUUUUACAUUAAUUUUUUAGAUGUGUAUAUUUUGGAAAGCAAUCAAUGCACAAUUGAGGAGUGUUGGAGCAUUGCGGACAGUACGUAGUUGUCCUCUUGAUAUUCUUUCUUGCUUCCUUUCGACUAAAUUUUAUUUUUGCUUCAGCGUAGCAUAAAACACAAGCACUUCGGAUGGUUUUAUUAUUUUCAUCUACUCUUUUUGUGAUAAUAUGUUUUGAUUGCGAUACAGGCUGCGGGGAUGUGAGAUCUACUAGGCCCUUAGCAACGCGUUCACGGAAUGUUCGUAUAUUAAUGUUUCUAUUCGUAGCUGCUUUAUACACAGUGUAGGCAUUUACCACGGAAAGUCGAAGUAAAAGUUCAAUUCCCAGCUUUCGGUACCAUUUUAACCCUUUGCGAAGGGUAUUUGCGUAUGAAGCCAUUUGGUCGGAAAGAUCAAUGCCUGAUUUCCCCUUAUAAUAUUCUACCACAGCCAGUGGCUUUUCUGUUGCUCGUCUUUUACGUCUCACUCCUUGACUAGUUGAAGGCUCUGCAGGAUUACGUGCUUCAUCGUAUAAAAUGCGUAAAAAGAAAAAAAAAAGAAAAAUAGCAAAAAAAAAUCGCGUCGCACAUUUUCGUACGACAUCGACUUUUACGAUUGCAAUUCCGUCGUGCAGUGCCAUGUCGUAAGGAAACAUGCGACAAAAAAAAACCGUUAUAAAAUCCAAAAUAAACCACAAAAUCAUCCGGGAUUGGCGCAGAACUGAAUAUUUUCUACUUUUACACCAGUUUAUAGCAAAAAAUGUGCUUGGCACCCGGGGAAGGUUUUCGUCAAAACACCUUGGCACUCAAUGUGUUAAGUACCUCAAAGUCAUCAUCGGUCAUGGGGUUAUCCAAUAUAGUAUAUGAAUACAAAUAAAUUUUUGUGUAAUUAAUAGUUUUUAUUUUCAUAUUGAUCAUUGUAAAAUUUUACCAAAGAAGGGAUUUCGAAUUAAAAAUACAUUCAUUUUAUGUUUAAAAAGCUAUUUGUUUUUACUUACCGUAGUGUUAUAAUUAAUCUUUCCGCAGGAGUUAUGCUUUUGCGGUAGUUUGUAUUUUUCUUAAAAAUGAAAUAUUUUAUUAAAGACAGCAAAUAUUCGAAUGUUGACACCUGCAUCCUUGUGAAAUUUCGAAAUUUUCUCGGAUGCAUUCUCAGUUCCGAAAUCUAAUCUAUAUAUAUAAAAUUAAGUGGCAAAACUUCCUGUUCGCAUACUCCUCCUAGACGGCUUGCCCGAUUUCAAUGAAAUUUUCAGGGGUGAUUGGGGUCCGUUUGGAGGGUGCACAUAAGAAAUUUAAUGGGUGUAUCAUUGCACGUUUUGCAAAAAAAAAAAAAUGAUACAUCCCGCCUAUACAAAUUCUCCUCAAAUAAUGUUUUGCCGAUAGAUUGGCAGUCCUGUCAAAUGCCUUUUACUAAUAAACAGAAACAACUGGCAGAUGUUUACAAUUAAUAAAAAAAAACACUGACAUCGCAUGUUGAUCGUUUUUUCCUGAAUUGAUUCGAUUGUUCAAAAUCGCAUUGGACCGCAUGCCGUCUGAUAACCAUCGAAUCGUCAUCAGAGCAGACAAAAUGCCGAUGGGGCAGCAUGCCAGACGAUUCAACGCACCAACAAUCGAUGAGUUGGUAAUCGUCAUUGUUGGUGAACAGUUUGAAUCGCGAGAUAUUGUACUGCACCGUAGAAACGAACAACUUCAGCGUGUUUCCGAGCUACACCGUAGUUAUAAUGCAUUACAGUAUCCGAUAUUAUUCUGGAGAGGUGAUGACGGCUAUCACAUCAAUAUUCGAUUGAUAAAUCGAAGAAAUGUUACUACCGAUUCAAUAUUUUGUGUAUUGUUCAUUUAUAGCCAAAGAAACACCAAAAAAACUCAGUGCAAGAAGACAACUACAUCCUGAAAUGUCGCAAGCUUUUCCAUCAGUAUUUAGUUGAUAUGUAUGCGAAGAUCGAGACCGAACGUGUCCACUUUAUUCGAUUCAACCAAGCGAAAUUGCGUUCUGAAGAGUACAUCCAUUUGAGAGAUGCCGUGAUGAAUGAUGCAAAUGUGAAUAGCAUUGGACGUCUGACAAUAUUGCCAGCCACAUACAUCGGCAGUCUGCGCCAUAUGCACGAGUAUACGCAAGAUCCGAUAUCGUAUGUGCGCCAUUACGGCAGUCCGGAUCUGUUCAUAACGUUCACGUGCAAUCCCAAGUGGAAUGACAUCAAAUGCCAUUUGUUCCCCGGUCAAUCAACAACUGAUCGUCACGACUUAACAGCACGUGUAUUCAGGAAAAAGCAAAAAGCAAUGAUGGAUUUAAUUGUGAAACUUCGUGUUUUUGGAGAAGUUCGAUGCUGGAUGUACUCGAUCAAAUGGCAGAGAAGAGGAUUACCGCAUGCACACAUCUUGAUUUGGUUAGUUCAAAAAAAUACGACCAGAUCAGAUUGAUAAAGUCAUCUCAGCGGAAAUUCCAGAUGAAGCAAUCGAGCCACAAUUGUUCAACGUUGUAACAAAAAACAUGAUCCACGGCCCUUGCGGGGCUAUUAAUCCAACGUCACCAUGCAUGAUUGACAAUAAGUGUUCAAAGCGCUAUCCUAGAGCUUUAGUUGAUGAUACAAUCACUGGAAAUGACGGAUAUCCAUUAUAUCGGCGUCGAUCCGCUGAAGAUGGCGGUAAUUCAACGGUCAUAAAAGUUCGGAAUCAAGACGUUGAUGCACAUCAAUGUAGAAUAUUGCAACUCUGUCAAAUCGAUCAAAUACAUCUGCAAAUACGUAAAUAAAGGCAGUGAUAUCGCAGUUUUCGGAGUGGUUAUCAGAGAAUAGAUGAAAUUCAGCAAUACCAAAUGGGCCGUUAUAUAAGCAGCAAUGAAGCGGUAUGGCGCAUUUUAUCGUUCCCAAUACAUGACCGGCAUCCCGUUGUUCUUCAUUUGGCAGUUCAUCUCGAAAAUGGUCAACGCGUUUACUUCACUGCAGACAAUGUACAACAGAGCGCAGCACGACCACCGCGGACAACACUAACUACCUUUUUCGAGUUGUGUGAAAACGAUGAAUUUGCAAGAACAUCGCUAUAUUCCGAAAUACGGCAAUAUUUCACUUGGAACCCAUCAUCGAAAAUAUUUCAACGACGAAAGCAAGGGGAGCGUGUUGACGGUUAUCCAAAUGUCCGUAAAACCGAUGCCAUAGGACGCAUUUACACCAUCCAUCCGAACAACGCCGAAUGUUUAUAUUUGCGUCUACUAUUAGUCAACGUGCGCGGACCAAGAUCAUUUGAUGAUUUCAAAACUGUUAACGGUCAGUUGUGUGCGACGUAUCGUGAAGCAUGUCAGCGAUCGCAUUUGUUAGAAGAUGAUAUGCAUUGGGACACCGCACUUCAUGACGCAUCACUCACAUCUCAUCCAAAACAAAUACGCGUACUAUUCGCCAUAAUAAUAUCUACAUGCCUUCCGUCAAAUCCGCAAGAACUGUGGAAUAAGUACAAAGCCUGCAUGACCGAGGACUCAUUAAUUAUGGCGCGUAAUCGAGCAGACUUGCUAUAUACAUACAUUACAAAUGUAUAAUGAUGCUUUGAUAUUGGUUGAAGAUCUGUGCCUUACAAUUGCGAAUAAGGCAUUAGCGCAACUUGGCAUAACUGCGCCCAAUCGUUCAGUGAUGGAUAUGCUUGACCAUGAGCUUCAACGUGAACAACAAUACGAUUGCAAUGAAUUGCGUGCUUUCAUACAAGCUAUCAUUACCAAAUUGAAUAUUCAGCAGAAAAAUGCUUAUGAUAAGAUUACACGAGCGGUUGACAAUAACGCCGGUGGAUUCUACUUUCCGGAUGCGCCCGGUGGUACAGGGAAAACGUUUGUGAUCUCUUUGAUUCUUGCAACUAUACGGUCACAGCAGAAAAUUGCGCUGGCAAUUGCUUCGUCAGGCAUCGCUGCUACUCUACUUGAUGGCGGCCGAACAGCACAUUCUGCAUUGAAAUUACCGUUGAACAUCCAAGUCGUUGAAACACCAACGUGCAACAUAUCGAGGAAUUCAGCAAUGGCAAAAGUUUUGCGAGGAGCUGGAAUAGUUCUAUGGGAUGAGUGCCCAAUGGCUAACAAAAAGUCAUUACAAGCAUUCAAUAGAACAAUGCAAGAUUUACGACAAAAGCAACAACUUUUUGGUGGAGCAUUAGUCUUAGGAGGAUGGAGUCAUGUGUAGAAGUUCACGCUAGUGAGGAAAGUUCUCUGAUCGCCAUUCACUUGGGAGUGGCCAGAAACGAUUCUUUUACAUAUGACUCAAGCAGCUCACGACUUCCGGUCUUUGACCAAGUAUCCUCUGGGUAGCCUAAGAACAUCCGUUUGAAGGCGAGCUAACGUGAGAAGGCGAAAAAUCCCCUGCAUAGGGUUGUGCGCUGGGUUUGGGACCCGCCACGUAAAAACCUCCCCCAAUGAAAAACAACACACAGCCUCGGAUGAGAGACCCCCCUUUUGAUGACGACCAUGGCAAACGAAAUAAGGACUAUGAUUUGAGGGCAUGCACCUGGAAUGUCCGGUCCCUUAAUUGGGAAGGUGCCGCUGCCCAGCUGGUAGAUGUCCUCGGAAAGAUAAAGGCUGACAUCACCGCCGUCCAAGAAAUGCGAUGGACGGGACAAGGACAGAAACGAGUAGGUCCUUGUGACAUUUACUACAGUGGCCAUAUAAAGGAGCGCAAGUUUGGUGUUGGAUUCGUGGUGGGAGAGAGACUCCGUCGCCGAGUACUAUCAUUCACUCCGGAGAAUGAACGUCUAGCCACAAUCCGCAUCAAAGCGAGGUUCUUCAACAUAUCGCUGAUUUGCGCCCACGCCCCGACGGAAGAGAAGGACGAUGUGACCAAAGAUGCUUUUUAUGAGUGCUUGGAGCGCACUUAUGAGAGAUGCCCCCGCCACGAUGUCAAAAUCGUGCUUGGCGACUUCAACGCCAGGGUGGGCAAAGAAGGUAUCUUUGGCACUACGGUCGGUAAAUUCAGCCUCCACGAGGAAACAUCCCCAAAUGGGUUGAGGCUGAUCGACUUCGCCGGGGCCCGAAAUAUGGUUAUCUGUAGUACUAGAUUCCAGCAUAAGAAGAUACAUCAAGCUACCUGGCUGUCUCCAGAUCGAAAAACCACCAACCAGAUCGAUCAUGUUGUGAUAGACGGAAGACACGUCUCCAGUGUUUUAGAUGUGCGUGCGCUCCGAGGACCUAACAUUGACUCGGACCACUAUAUUGUUGCAGCCAAAAUUCGCACCCGCCUCUGUGCAGCAAAAAACGCACGCCAACAAACACAAGGAAGGUUCGACGUCGAGAAGCUGCAAUCACAACAGACAGCCGAACGAUUUUCUACUCGGCUUGCACUCCUGCUCUCUGAGAGCACUCGUCAACAACUUGGUAUAAGGGAACUGUGGGAUGGCAUUUCAAACUCCUUACGUACAGCUGCAACCGAAACCAUUGGUUUUCGGAAAGUGCAAAAGAACAGCUGGUAUGACGAGGAGUGCCGUGUCGCAGCGGAGAGAAAACAGGCUGCCUACCUCGCAACGUUACGAUCGACCACAACACGUGCGGGAUGGGACAGAUACCGAGAGUUGAAGAGGGAAGCGAGACGCAUUUGCAGACAGAAGAAAAAAGAGGCCGAAAUGCGUGAGUACGAACAGCUUGAUAAGCUGGCCGACAGGGGUGAUGCUCGAAAAUUCUACGAGAAAAUGCGGCGGCUUACAGAAGGUUUCAAGACCGGAGCAUACUCCUGUAGAACCCCCAAAGGUGAUCUAGCCACCGAUGCCCAGAGCAUACUUAGAUUAUGGAGGGAACACUUCUCCAGCCUGCUGAAUGGCAGUGAAAGCACAACACCAGGAGAAGACGAACCCGAUUCCCCAAUCGAUGACGAUGGAGCAGACGUUCCAUUGCCCGACCAUGAAGAAGUUCGAAUAGCAGUUGCCCGCCUGAAAAACAACAAAGCGGCAGGGGCCGACGGAUUGCCGGCCGAGCUAUUCAAACACGGCGGCGAAGAACUGAUAAGGAGCAUGCAUCAGCUUCUUUGCAAAAUAUGGUCGGAUGAAAGCAUGCCCAACGAUUGGAAUUUAAGUGUGCUAUGCCCAAUCCAUAAAAAAGGAGACCCCACAAUCUGCGCCAACUACCGUGGGAUAAGCCUCCUCAACAUCGCAUACAAGGUUCUAUCGAGCGUAUUGUGUGAAAGAUUAAAGCCCACCGUCAACAAACUGAUUGGACCUUAUCAGUGUGGCUUCAGACCUGGUAAAUCAACAACCGACCAGAUAUUCACCAUGCGCCAAAUCUUGGAAAAGACCCGUGAAAGGAGAAUCGACACUCACCACCUAUUCGUCGAUUUCAAAGCUGCUUUCGACAGCACGAAAAGGAGCUGCCUUUAUGCCGCGAUGUCUGAAUUUGGUAUCCCCGCAAAACUAAUACGGCUGUGUAAACUGACGUUGAGCAACACGAAAAGCUCCGUCAGGAUCGGGAAGGACCUCUCCGAGCCGUUCGAUACCAAACGAGGUUUCAGACAAGGCGACUCCCUAUCGUGCGACUUUUUCAAUCUGCUGCUGGAGAAAAUUAUUAGAGCUGCAGAACUGAACCGAGCAGGUACAAUCUUUUAUAAGAGUGUACAGCUGCUGGCGUAUGCCGAUGAUAUUGAUAUCAUCGGUCUCAACACCCGCGCCGUUAGUUCUGCUUUCUCCAGACUGAGCAAGGAAGCAACGCAAAUGGGUCUGGCAGUGAACGAGGGCAAGACGAAAUAUCUCCUGUCAUCAAACAAACAGUCGUCGCACUCGCGACUUGGCCCCCACGUCACUGUUGACAGUCAUAACUUUGAAGUUGUAGAUAAUUUCGUCUAUUUAGGAACCAGCGUUAACACCACCAACAAUGUCAGCCUUGAAAUCCAACGCAGGAUAACUCUUGCCAACAGGUGCUACUUCGGACUGAGUAGGCAAUUGAAAAGUAAAGUCCUCUCUCGACGAACAAAAACCAAACUCUAUAAGACGCUCAUAAUUCCCGUCCUGCUAUAUGGUGCAGAGGCUUGGACGAUGACAACAACCGAUGAGUCGACGUUGCGAGUUUUCGAGAGAAAAGUUCUGCGAAAGAUUUAUGGUCCUUUGCGCGUUGGCCACGGCGAAUAUCGCAUUCGAUGGAACGAUGAGCUGUACGAGAUAUACGACGACAUUGACAUAGUUCAGCGAAUUAAAAGACAGCGGCUACGCUGGCUAGGUCAUGUUGUCCGGAUGGAUGAAAACACUCCAGCUCUGAAAAUAUUCGACGCAGUACCCGCCGCGGGAAGCAGAGGAAGAGGAAGACCUCCACUCCGGUGGAAGGACCAAGUGGAGAAGGACCUGGCCUCGCUUGGAAUAUCCAAUUGGCGCCACGUAGCGAAGAGAAGAAACGACUGGCGCGCUGUUGUUGACUCGGCUAUAAUCGCGUAAGCGGUGUCUACGCCAGUAAAGAAGAAGAUUAGUCUUAUUAUCCGGCGAUUUUCGGCAAACUUUGCCAGUCAUUCCUCGAUCAACUCCUGCCGACGAAAUAAACGCAUGUUUAAAAUCGUCAGUUUUGUGGAGACAUGUUCAAAGGCUGACUCUUGCCAUCAACAUGCGAGUCCAAUUGCAAAAUGAUCGAUCCGUAGCGGCGUUUUCGAAGCAGUUGUUGGACAUUGGCGAAGGCAAAAUACCAAUCGAUGAUACCAGUUUGAUCACAUUGCCGAACAACUUAGGUACACUUUUACAAUCGAAAGAAGAAUUGAUUGAAAGUGUAUUUCUGAAUAUUGUUGUACACGUCAACGAAAUCAAUUUUGCCAUUCAAGAAAAACUGCCAGGAGAAGCUACAACAUAUACAUCGAUUGAAUAGCGUUUUGAAUCAAGAUGAAGUAGUCAAUUAUCCAACUGAAUUCUUUGGAUCCCCCCGGUCUGCCACCGCAUCGUUUGGUCCUGAAAGUCGGUUCACCCAUUAUACUUCUACGAAAUCUGAAGCCACCGACUUUGUGUAAUGGCACAAGACUUUCAGUCAAAAAAUUGUGGCAAAUUUGGUUGAAGCAACAAUACUAAAUGGCAAGGAGCAGGUGAAGUUGUACUCUUACCACGCAUUCCCAUGAUUCCAACGGACAUGCCGUUUGAAUUUAGCGCUUGCAGUUCCCAGUACGUCUUGCCUUUGCGAUGAAUAUCAACAAAUCGCAAGGGCAAACGUUUCAAGUGUGCGACGUCAAUUUGGAAGAACCGUGCUGCUCCCACGGCCAAUUGUUCGUCACAUACUCGAGAGUAGGAACACCAAGGUGCUUAAUCAUUUACGCGCCAGGUGGACAAAACAAAAAUGUUGUAUACCAAUAUGUUUUAUAAAUGUUUUAUAAAUAAGUAACAGUUUUACAACAAUAAAUAAAACACAACGUAAAAACCCUUAA